rnacentral:lncRNA from 1 species
AUGCAAAGUCCUCUGCACACCCUGGAGAAGAUGGCAAAGCAGCUGAAGAAUCACAGGAUUCCUUCAAAAAGAUGUUUUCAAAGACUGCAUAUGGCACUUUCCAUGAGCUCCAAAUGGACAAUGAUUGACCUUGAAAGCUGCAUUCCUAGCAAGAUUAAACAGAGUACAGUGAACUUUGUUUAGAACAAGGUUAAAGAUCUCUGGAAGACAGAGAUUUGAUGCUUUGCUUCAAAGAUAAGUAUGGAAAUUUAUUUUGGCAAAACAAAACAAUAUCAAGUGAAAAGUCAGAAAAAAAAUGGUCUUGGAUCUCUGCUAAUCAACACUGCUUUUUUUGAAAAUGACAGUCCAGGAAUUCCAUCAUCAGGAAUUCUUUGUAGAUUAAUUACAUGUUAAAAUGUAAUUACAUGUUAAAUGUUCAACUCAAUUUAUUCAUGCCACACAUUCAAAUUAUUCAUGCGUUAUAUCUGAUAUUAUUUAUAUUUUUAACUGUAGCUUGUUUUAAAAUUCAAUGGGCAUGGAAUUAAUGCAGUGGAUAUAGAGUCUUCAUUCCAUUUUACAUAUUCACAAUUUCAAUGUAAAAUUUUUUCGCCUGGGGAAGUUUUGAAAUUCUGAAGUGUUGCUACAUCAUGCUGGGUUAGGUUCUGCAUUGCAUAUUCAUUUGAUUGAUUGACAAGAAAAAAUAUUGCCGUGUUAAUCCUUUUUCUUGAUUAAACUUGAUUAAUUUUAGUUACAUUUAUAAUCUUAUUAAUCUCUUGGAAUUACCAGUUCUAGGCUACGUAAGCUAAAAUGUUUUAUCUGAUGUAAUCAUUUGAUGAAAACAAAGGGCUGAAUGAUUACUAUGGAAAAUGAGCGUUCAGUACCUCAGGGAAUGAGAGGCUAUCAAGGGAUAGCAGCAAGAUGCUGCUUUUUAUCCAAAUCUUAACAGUUACAUAAUAUUUACUGUUACCCACCCAUAUACUAAAAAACACAUAAUACAGAUGGUAUUCCUAAUGAAUAUGACUCACUGUUAGAACAGCCCACAGUGAUUUUAUUUACAAAAGUAAACUGAAGAAAGAAGAUACCAAUUUCACUUACAUAACUCUUAAUCAAGAUCUAGAGUUUGCUUUAGGCCAUGUGAGUUUUAGAAGACUUGUACAUUAUUAGUGUAUGCCACAUUAGCAUAUAGCAUAUAGCAUAUUAGUGUAUGCCACAUCCUACCAACCUCAGAAUUUUAGUCAUGUUAUUUUUGACAGAAUGUUAUUGGCUUUGUGUGUUUGUGUGUUUUGUUGUUGGUGGUGGUGGUUGUUUUAAAGAAAAUCUCAAAGAGGGAAAACUUGGAACUCUGUGGUAAUAUAUGGCACUUGAUAGCUUGCCAAUGCCCCAUAUGUUACUCCAGGUGCUAUUGUGUUAGAGGGAUUGGGCAGAUGUGAUGCCAGCACAAAUUUGCUAUGUCCUGAUGGGUGAGUGAGAAUCUAUAGAGAGGAAUGAGAUAAUGCCUUUUCACAGCAAGAUGUAGCAAGAAGCUUCUGCACAAAAAUGAUGCUAUAAGGAAUGUAUCAUUUUCUCUUCAAUCUCACGAGUUUCAGAAGAAACAACAGCACCAAAUAUUCCAUUCUUUUUCUUACAAUCCCUUUGAUUGUGCAUCCAAUCAGCUAAUUUUACAAAAGAUUCAAAUUAACUAAGAUCAUUAUAAGAAGCUUUUCUAUUUUCAGUGGUAGAUCAAUAGCAGAACAUUCAAAGUGAAAUGCAUGCUCUCAUGAAAUGACAUAAUGACAUUUAUCUUUUAAGCAGAGAGUGACUAAAUGUCACAAACUAAAUGUAAUUAAGCAGCCAACCCCAGCAGCAGCCAGGUCAAAAUGAAAUCUUGAACAGUCUGCACAGCAACAAGUUGUAAUUUUCUAUAGGUUUUAGUCCUGAAGUAGAGAAAUCCUGGAAAUGACAAUGUUUCACAAGAUUCAAAUAAAAUGCAAAGCAUUCAUAAAUACA